GCCCUAAUGGUGUAACGGCAGCAUGCUGAUCUUGUGAAAUCAGUGGUGCCGGUUCGACUCCGACUUAGGGCU
rnacentral:tRNA from 1 species